rnacentral:rRNA from 1 species
UACGAGGGGUGCAAGCGUUGCUCGGAAUUAUUGGGCGUAAAGGGCAGGUAGGUGGUCUCAUUUGUCUGGGGUGAAAGCCUUGGGCUUAACCCAAGAAGUGCCCCAGAAACGGUGAGACUAGAGUCUUGGAGAGGUUAGCGGAAUACCCGGUGUAGCGGUGAAGUGCGUAGAGAUCGGGUGGAACACCAGCGGCGAAGGCGGCUAACUGGACAAGUACUGACACUCCACUGCGAAAGCGUGGGGAGCAAACAGG